AGUGGUUAUCCAUGCCAGAACAUUCUAGAAUCGUAAUAGCAUUUAGCAACACUGCGCAGACGCACAGAAUUCAACCUUUCACUUUUCCGUCUGCCUUACUGUUCUCUUUCAAAAUGGUUGUUCGUAGGGUCAAGAUGUUUUGGAAUUUAUUUAUUGGUGUUUUCCUUAUUAUACAGUCUGAACGCAUUAAUUCGUCAAGAAUUUAUUUUCAUCAACAUAUGUUAUUGGAUCUGCAGCAGUGCUGAACUAGGCAUGGUAUUUGAGAGGCAGUCGGUUCACCAUUUUGUUGGAAGUGGUUCUUCAGCUACACCUUAGGAAUUGUCUUGUUAGGGCCAUGACAUUUAAGAGUGGCCUUGAGAGAUGAAAAUCUACUACCUGAGCCAGCUAACUCCACAUUCAGGUCCAGGUAUUCAACAGUAUUACAAUUGUCUAUAAGAGCCAGAGGCCUGAGUUCAUAUCUGAGCCCAGAAACCAGGUUUCUUGAUGGAUGUAUCAUGUACUUCCUCAGUCCAUCCAGUCAUCGGAGUGGCACACAGCGUCAUCUCCCCGACCAAAGAAAUCACGCCUCGUCCGAUCCAAGGAAAAAGUGAUGCUCAUGGCAUUCUUUGACAUCGACGGUGUGGUGCACCAUGAGUUCGUUGCAGAGGUUACGCGGAGGAAUCGGCGCGACAAGUGACAGGGUGAGUGGUUUCUGCAUUAUGAUAAUGCACUGAGCCACACAUCGCUGGUUGUGCAGCAAUUCCUCGCCGAGAAAAGCAUUCCCAUCAUCACCCAACCACCAUACUCUCUGGAUCUCGCUCCGAGUGACUUCUGGCUCUUCCCUGCUCUGAAAUGGGCCUCAAGGGGGCGAGUUUCGCAACCAUGGAGGACAUCAAAUCGAAUGUGACGGCCGAACUCAGGAAGAUUCCAAACGAAGCCUUCCGCCUUCCAACAAUAGCAGGAUCGAUGUAACAAGUGUGUGUGUGUGUGCGCGUGCGCAAGGGUCCUACUUUGAAGGUGAUUAGGUAAGCGUUACCAUAUGUCCUACCAUUACAGUGCUAUACUACAAUUCCGAGAACUUUUUGUCUGCCCCUCAUAUUUAUUUGUUGCUUAUUAUUGCAGUGUCUGCCAUCAUCUGUGACGAGUACCAAAAGUGAGUAGGUAAAUGUUCCAUGUAAAUGCAUUUUUUAAAAUGAUUUUAGUAGAAGCUUCAUUUGCAAUACUCCAUACUGUUCAUUUUAGAGCACUAGCUAAUUUUUCAUUUCAGCCCCACUAUAUGGGGUUUAUGCAAAGAAAUUCCCACAGUAUGUGCAGACAUAUUGUAUAUUGUGUUUUGCUUAAAAGAUAUCAAUUAAAGGUAAUAGGAAACAAAAAUUUGCAUAUGCAACACACAAAUAUGUAGUCUGCAGCAGAAUUAUUGUUUAUUUUGAAAGCUCUGUUCCUCUAAAGUCAAACAUGUUGUGUUACAAAUGUCAGACAGAUGUCUCAAGCAGAUUUACCACAUUUUGUAGU